ACCGAUCGUGUAACGUUUUCACACGAAAACUACUCCCAAAAUUAGGGUAGGUCUUAGGUUUAAUGUUUCAUAAGCAGGAAUGUUGUUUGUUCCAGACCCUAGUUCCAGGAUUUAGUCCUUUUUCAUAGAGUAACCACAUUCCUGUAUCUUAACAUAUCUGCCAAAUUUGGUUAAUGUUCUGUGUAUCUUCUCAGAGGCCAAUCUGCUCAGGAAAAUCAGAACCAGAGGAGAGAAGUGAAAAGCUUUCCUGGUAUCAGUAGUUAAAGAUCUUCGAUGACAACUUCUUGUGGCCACCAUGGACAUUGAGUGGGUGAACACUGCCAUCAACUACCACCUGCCUGGGGAUUCCCACACCUACCUGCAUCUGGUAAACUGCACACCCACAUGGACAUCCCAAUGUCCCCUCCCACCCCCUGAUUUCCUAUGUCUUCAUAACUUACAUGCUCCUCCCUUCUUUUGGGUGUCUUCCUACUUUGGGGUUUUCCCAGUGCUACUAUCUAUCUCCUUCCAUGAGACCUGAGCAGGCCAGUUUGGUCACACAGGUUUGGCCAUCAUGUUUGUGUCAGUUGAAAAGAUGCCAAGGUUCUCAGUGAGGUGCAGGGUCACAUUGAGGUCAGUAGGAGUGAGCUGCCUGAUGAGAUGGCCAUUUCCUCCUCCAGUGAGUAUUGAUCUCAUGAAACUGGCUCCUCC